rnacentral:rRNA from 1 species
CCUACGGGGGGCAGCAGUGAGGAAUAUUGGUCAAUGGGCGGGAGCCUGAACCAGCCAAGUCGCGUGAGGGAUGACGGCCCUAUGGGUUGUAAACCUCUUUUGCCGGGGAGCAAAGUGCCGCACGUGUGCGGUUUGGAGAGUACCCGGAGAAAAAGCAUCGGCUAACUCCGUGCCAGCAGCCGCGGUAAUACGGAGGAUGCGAGCGUUAUCCGGAUUUAUUGGGUUUAAAGGGAGCGUAGGCCGGCUUUUAAGUCAGCUGUGAAAGUCCGCGGCUCAACCGUGGAAUUGCAGUUGAAACUGGAGGCCUUGAGUGCACACAGGGAUGCCGGAAUUCAUGGUGUAGCGGUGAAAUGCUUAGAUAUCAUGAAGAACUCCGAUCGCGAAGGCAAGUGUCCGGGGUGCAACUGACGCUGAGGCUCGAAAGUGCGGGUAUCAAACAGGAUUAGAUACCCGGGUAGUC